rnacentral:tRNA from 1 species
GGGACAGUGGGGUAGCCUGGUUAUCCUCGAGCGUUUGGGACGCUUGGACUGCGGUUCGAAUCCGCGCUGUCCCA